rnacentral:rRNA from 1 species
GACAUAGGUGGCGAACGUUAUCCGGAAUUAUUGGGCGUAAAGGGUGCGUAGACGGUCUAGUAAGUUAGCAGUGGGAAAUCGAGGCCCAACCUCGUGGAAAUUGCUAAUACUACUAUACUCGAGUGCAGGAGAGGUUAACGGAACUCUAUGUGGAGCGGUAAAAUGUGACGAUAUGUGGAUGAACACCAAUAACGGCGAAGGCAGUUAACUAUUCUGUUACUGACGUUGAGGCACGAAAGCGUGGGGAGCAAAAAGG